UGCAGUCGAACGGAAUCUUUAGGGAUUUAGUGGCGGACGGGUGAGUAACGCGUGAGAAUCUGGCUUCAGGUCGGGGACAACAGUUGGAAACGACUGCUAAUACCGGAUAUGCCGAGAGGUGAAAGAUUAAUUGCCUGGAGAUGAGCUCGCGUCUGAUUAGCUAGUUGGUGGGGUAAGAGCCUACCAAGGCGACGAUCACUAGCUGGUCUGAGAGGAUGAUCAGCACACACUGGGACUGAGACACGGCCCAGACUCCUACGGGAGGCAGCAGUGGGGAAUUUUCCGCAAUGGGCGAAAGCCUGACGGAGCAAUACCGCGUGAGGGAGGAAGGCUCUUGGGUCGUAAACCUCUUUUCUCAGGGAAGAAAAAAAUGACGGUACCUGAGGAAUAAGCAUCGGCUAACUCCGUGCCAGCAGCCGCGGUAAUACGGAGGAUGCAAGCGUUAUCCGGAAUGAUUGGGCGUAAAGCGUCCGCAGGUGGCCAUGUAAGUCUGCUGUUAAAGAGUCAUGCUCAACAUGAUAAAAGCAGUGGAAACUACACGGCUAGAGUACGUACGGGGCAGAGGGAAUUCCUGGUGUAGCGGUGCAAUGCGAAGAUAUCAGGAAGAACACCGGUGGCGAAAGCGCUCUGUUAGGCCGUAACUGACACUGAGCGACGAAAGCUAGGGGAGCGAAUGGGAUUAGAUACCCCUGUAGUCCUAGCCGUAAACGAUGGAUACUAGGCGUGGCUUGUAUCGAUCCGAGCCGUGCCAUAGCUAACGCGUUAAGUAUCCCGCCUGGGGAGUACGCACGCAAGUGUGAAACUCAAAGGAAUUGACGGGGGCCCGCACAAGCGGUGGAGUAUGUGGUUUAAUUCGAUGCAACGCGAAGAACCUUACCAAGACUUGACAUGUCGCGAAUC
rnacentral:rRNA from 1 species